rnacentral:lncRNA from 1 species
GCUUACUAUUGUUUGUGACACAAAAAUCCAAUUUUCUAUUUGAUUUACCUAUAUUGCAUGUUACAAUCUGUAUAAUUCAAGUAUUUAUUUUUGAAUGCUUGGUUUCAUUAAAAUAUGAGACUUUCCUCAAUUUAUUGCGAAAAUACAAAAAAAAGGGGGGAGGCUAUCUAAAUGAUCAAUAAAAUCUAUAAAAUUAAUUUGCAACCGAAAUCCCUUCAAAAUAUUUUGAACCAAAGAAAAUGCAAAGCAUUUCUGAAAUUUAGGGUAAAUUAAAGCGACUUUUGGGCUGUAGUGUCUGUUUUAGUGUGAUUUGAUGAAAAGGCCCAAUUUUUUAUCAUUUUAUGUGUUUUGCCACACCCUUAUUUUCUAUAUAUAUCAUUAUGUUUAAUAAAAUUAUGUGAUUUAUACUUCAUACACAUCC